UACAGAGGGUGCAAGCGUUGUUCGGAAUUAUUGGGCGUAAAGCGCGUGUAGGAGGCUUUGCAAGUCGGGUGUGAAAGCCCUCAGCUCAACUGAGGAAGUGCGCCCGAAACUGCAGAGCUUGAGUACCGGAGAGGAUGGUGGAAUUCCCCAAGUAGAGGUGAAAUUCGUAGAUAUGGGGAGGAACACCGGUGGCGAAGGCGACCAUCUGGACGGAUACUGACGCUGAGACGCGAAAGCGUGGGUAGCAAACAGG
rnacentral:rRNA from 1 species